AUAAUUAUCUGGCAGGGGAGAUACCAUGAUCUCAAAGGUGGUUUUCCCAGGGCAAGGCUCAUCCAUUGCACUCCAAAUGUGCUGAUCCCUGCAAUUUCUUCAAAUGUAGGAAACCCAACAGCAUAAUGUGUAGCAGUGGGAGACUGUGUUCACGCUUUCCUC
rnacentral:snRNA from 1 species